ensembl:lncRNA
AUGACUGCAUGCAUUUUAACUGUGCCAAUCAUGUCUGUCCACAGAUCUGCUUUACAAGAAACAAAGAAAAAACGUUGGGAAAUAGAACUGGAACCAUUCAAAGAAAGGUUGGUAGUGAGAGUGAGUCAGAGGCAGGGCCAUCAUGGACCAGUGGAGGAAGUUCUUUUGCUGAGGUCUCCUGACCUGGCAUCUCGUCAGGAUCAGAGUAUGAUGGAAAUGGAUCUCAGGAAGAAACUACAUGAGACAACACAGGAACUGGAAGAGACAAGAUCUGCUUUACAAGAAAAAAAGAAAAAACUGGAAUCAUUCAAAGAAAGAGUGGCAUGGGAUGUUGCUCCUUCCAUAAAGACAGGAAAAGCAGAGAGCAUGAACAGUCCAGUUAAUAAAUCUAGACUCAAAGAGAUGUAUGAAGAUCUACGACAGAACUGGAUUGAGAUCAAAGAUCACCUGAAAUCAAAUAAUCAAAACCCAAAGACUGUUGAAGCCGCAGUUCAGAGAAUGUUUGAAGAGGAAAGAGAAAAGAUGGAGCAAUGCAAAAAGCAAAUCUACACAAUGAGUGGACUGUGUGAGGACAGCAGUGGAUCAACAUCUACCAAGGCUCAAGAGUGCAGCCAGAUAGCAAUACAGAAUAUUCAACUGGCUCUCUACUAUGGAAAUAAACAUCUUCUGGAGACUGAGGACGUGCAGUGUUGGGAAUCGAAACUCUCCUUGUUGGGCCGUUUGAUGGCAUUAAACAAUCCUUCUCUUCAACCUGAAUGGGAGAAUCACAGUCCUGGGAUGGAUGCCUGGAAUAUCCUUCCAACAAACCUCAUGCCAGUUUAUGCCAAGCCGGAAAAGUGCAUGCAGCCCCAAAAUACACGCUGUUCACAGCUAUGAACUUUUCCCUUCCUUUGUGGAUCACAAACUGCUGUGUAGCCAAACACUGCACGGCUGUGUUUCAUUUGCUGUGUUAUUAUAGUUUUGCUAAAGGGCUUGAAUAAAUGUAUCUUUUUUUGAUAUGGAGGCCUUUCAAUAAUGAGUCCAAUGCUUUUACCAGACUUUUUUUUUUGAACAAAGCUGCAUCCUAUCGUGACUGGAGAUUUUUGUAAACUUUGAUUUUAAAAUCAUUAAUUAAACUGAAUUCAAAAUGAGGUGACUGGUGAUAUGAAGCUUUAUUACUCUCAGCUAGUAAUGAGAACUACUGCUAUUAUUAAUACUGUUAUUAGUAUUAUUAGUAUUAAUACAUAAUCACUAUUGAAUUUUCCACAUUUUUUUUUUACUCCACUUUAGCUCAUUUUUGCUAAAUGUGUCUUAUGGCGUAACAGCAC